ACCAGCAGACCCUGUAGCUCUCCAGGACCAGGGUUGGAGACCACUGAGCUACACAGAUAAGAGCAGUGCAGAGAUACUGCCAUAGUAGAAAACAAUACAAAAAUCGCAGAGAAAAAUCUGUCAAAAUGGCCGCUGUCUUUGCUUGCAACGGUGUAUACUGAUAAAAAGCAAGAAAAGAAAGACUGUAGAAGAAUGUAUUUUACCCAAAAAAGAAGAGACAAGAGUAAACAUCGGUUUGGCUUUUCAGUGAUGGCGAGAGCUCAGAGAUUUGAAGGGCUUCCAAAGCUUGCUGUAUUUCUGCUGGACAGAACUCAGAUGCCAGGCAGUACACGUGCAUGUGCUUGGAAGGAGAGCCGAGAGGAGGAGUGUUUAAGUUGGACCAAUGGAAAAAGCUCGGAGUCUCGCCUACCCAGGGGUCCAGGAACUCUAAGAGCUGGGAGGAAGCCGGGGGCAGUUUUGGGUUUCGGGCCUGAUCGGAACAGGGGGGAAGCUUCUGGAACACCGGCCGGCACUGCUGCUUUUGCUCCUCAGCAUCUGCUGAGUGCAGGCGUGGCCACACCAUGUCCUGGAGGUGGACUGCUUCUCACGUGGCCUUCGAGACCCAGGUGUAACCUGGAACACAAAUUCCUGCUUCACCUAUUGUCGCGGCAUGGCUUGGCUGCUAGUGGGAUAAUAUGCCGCAAUGAAUGUGAAAUAAAUAAAAGCUGACUGUAAAUGU